rnacentral:tRNA from 1 species
GUCUUUGGUGUAGUGGUCAGCACGCUCGACGAGUAACCGAGAGGUCCGUGGUUCGAUUCCCGGCGAAGGCG